rnacentral:rRNA from 1 species
GCUUAACGCGAAGAACCUUACCCAGGCUUGACAUCCUGUUAAUCACUCCGAAAGGAGAGAGUGCCUUCGGGCCGCAGUGACAGGUGAUGCAUGGCCGUCGUCAGCUCGUGUCGUGAGAUGUUUGGUUAAGUCCAUCAACGAGCGCAACCCUUAUGAGUAGUUGUAUUUCUCUACUCAGACUGCCCUGGUAACAGGGAGGAAGGAGGGGAUGAUGUCAGGUCAGUAUCUCCCUUACGUCUGGGGCUACAAACACGCUACAAUGGCCGGUACAAAGGGCAGCCAACCCGCGAGGGGGAGCAAAUCCCAUCAAAGCCGGUCUCAGUUCGGAUUGUAGGCUGAAACUCGCCUGCAUGAAGCUGGAAUCGCUAGUAAUGGUAGGUCAGCACACUACCGUGAAUACGUUCCCGGGUCUUGUACACACCG